AAUGUGUUAGCCAGUGGAGACUGGUCCAUAGUUUUUGUUGCAAAAAACAAUAAUAAAUGUAUACAAUCUAUUGGCAUUGUAAGGACUUCAGAUAAGUUGGUAGCUUCCUUUCUCCCUUUUAUGGAUGACUGGUGAUGUAGCGGGGUUUGGACAGGGCAUAACAUCUAGUGGGUAGAGUCCCACCAUUUUAUACUUUACCAGUCACCAUUAGUGUUAGAUGAAUAUUUAUUUGUGAAUGUAAGGAUUGGAUUUCUGUUCAGACUAUGGGAGUCUGCCCAAAGACCGGAGCAUAUGUCACGAGUUUUGGAGCAAAAACCUGUCCCACUCAUAUUGUGACAUGCAACAUGCUCAGCUCAUACAGGUUACUGGCUGAUAUUCUUAGGUGCCCAUGCCUUCUUCCACACAAAAGGCACUUCCUUUUGAAACGAAGCCCUUUUCCAGCAGAGCUUGUAUCCUGUCCAUUUAACCACACCACUGCCAUAGCAGUGAGAUCCUUGGAGAUUUACACUAGCCUUUGGGGCUGAUCUGAAGCUCUGCUGAGCCGUGGUCUGUAAAUAUCUCUAGCUAUUUUAAUGUUGAUCAGAUUUAGUACUUGUAAAUAAAAUCCUGGCAUCACAAAUGAAAUUAAACAUUUUUGCUACAUAACAUCA